rnacentral:rRNA from 1 species
AGACAGAGGUAGCAAGCGUUGUUGGGAUUUACUGGGCGUAAAGCGCUCGUAGGCGGUCGUGUAAGUCAGAUGAGAAAUCCCAGGGCUCAACCCUGGAACUGCAUUUGAAACUGCGUGACUUGAGGACAGGAGGGGGAAGUGGAAUUCCCGGUGUAGCGGUGAAAUGCGUAGAUAUCGGGAAGAACACCUGUGGCGAAGGCGGCUUCCUGGACUGUCCCUGACGCUGAGGAGCGAAAGCGUGGGUAGCAAACAGGAUUAGAUACCCCAGUAGUCC